rnacentral:lncRNA from 10 species
ACGCCUAUAAUCCCAGUACUUCAGGAGGCUGAGGCGGGCAGAUUACCUGAGCUCAGGAUUUUGCGACCAGCCUGGGCAACAUGGUGAAACCCUGUCUUUACUAAAAUACAAAAUAUUAGCUGGGCAUGGCAGCGUGCACCUGUAGUCCAGCUACUUGGGAGGCUGAGGCAGGAGAAUUGCUUGAACCCAGGAGAUGGAGGUUGCAGUGAGCCAAGAUCACGCCACUGCACUCCAGCCUGGGUGACAGCGAGACUCCGUCUCAAAAAAAAGAAGAAGAAGAAGAAGAAGAGAACCCUGAUAAAGAAAACAUCAUGAAAGUCUGGAAGGAUUACACCACUGAAGAUGCCAUUGUUAUAGAAAAAGCUGUGAAAGACAUCAACACGAAACAAAUUUCUGCUGGAGAAAACUGUGCCCAAGUGUUGUGCACAUCUUCACAGGAUUUACGACAGAGCCAAUCAAUGAAAUCAUGAAAGAUAUGGUAGAUAUGAAAGGAAAGGGGGGGUGGAGGGUGGAGCGUUUCAAAAUUUGGAUCUCGGAGAAAUUCAAGAGCUAACAGACACAACACCAGAGAUAUUAACAGAAAAUGGCUUGAUAGAGAUGAGUGCCUCCAAACCACUGCCAGAUAAUGAAGAAGAUGUAAAAGCAGCAGUGCCAGAAAAGAAACUGACAUUAGACAAUCUGGCAGAAGGGCUCCGAUUUUUCAAGACUACUUGACUUCUUUUACAACAUGGACCCUUCUAUACAGGCAAUGAAACUAAAGCAAAUGGUGGGAAAAGAACUGUUACCACCUAAAACAAUUUUUAGAGAAAUAAAAAAGUAAAACAGUCAGACAGAAAUUACUACGUAUUUCCAUGAAGUCACAGCAAGUACGCCUUUCUCUCUUGCCUCCCCUUCCACCUCCUGCCAUGCCUAACACAGCAAGACCAACCCCUCCUCUUCCUCCUCAGCCUACUCAAUGUGAAGACAAUGAGGAAGAAGACUUAUGAUGAUGAUCCACUUCCCACUUAAUGAAUAGCCGGACACGGUGGCUCAUGCCUGUAAUCCCAGCACUUUCGGAGGCUGAGGCGGG